UGGUCUCCAACCCACUGUAUAGCAGAAGAUGGCUUUGAAGUUUCUGGAAUUACGUGUACCCAGCACCACUUUCUGCUCUCAUCUGGGUUUGUGCAGAGGUUUCACUCUGCCGCCCAGGCCUAAGUAACACAUUAAUAAAUGUCUCCCCUACUGCCCUUUAUCUGUGUCACUAGGACACCGCAGGGAAAGGAAAGGUACUGAAAUCUGUCAAACAUUGACACAAAGGUCCUUUUGUGUCCCCAAGACAGGCCUGCUGGGGGAGUUUGUGGCCUUGUUCAACUCUUUCCACACACGGAGGACAGGUUAACGAGCCGCCGUCUGACAGUGUGUGGAGGCGCACGCCUUUAAUCCCAGCACUCAGGAGCAGAGGCAGGCAGAUCUAUGAGUUUGACACCAGCCUGGUCUACAGAAUGAGUUCCAGGACAGCCAGGGCUACACAGAGAAACCCUGUCUCAAACAACAACAACAAAACCAACCUCCAUCUGCCUGCACCAGGAGUAACUUAUCAGGCACCAACAAAUGCAUCAAAUCUAUCAAAUGGUAUCAGAAAUACGGGACAUAUAAGUUUCUCAAUCACAUUAGGUGAACCCCCUCAUCUGACACUAUGAAAGGAGGACCCCAAGACUGAAAUGUGGCCGGCAUACUGACUAGUCACCUGGUUACUCACCAUGAGCCCCAUCCGGAAAACUGUCACAGUGGGAAACUCUGUCUCUGUCCAAUUUCUCCCGUCUACAACACCCAAGCAGCCUCAAACUGAACUUCAAACGUGUGUCUUACAUCAGUGUGCCCAAUUAGCUGUGCCCCUGAAGCUCCUAAGACUUCCUGUCUGACCCUCUGGAGACAUUUCCUGGCGUCUGUGUCAGCUCUGUGCCUCCAGCUUCAGGUCAGCCGGCAUGAACUCUGAAGCCACUUUUCCUCCUGUAACCUGCACAUAUAACUGUGCAGAAUGUAUGAGAGAGACCGGGCCACUGGGGAGGAGGCUGAGUCAGGACUGUCAUGAAUCAGGCCAGCCUGGGCUAUAGAGUGAGCUCCUAGCCAGCCUGAGAUACAGUGUGGGACACUAUCUCAAAAAGGAAGAAAAGAAAAAAAAAUAAAGAUUAAAAUAAAAGAAUGUAUGAUCGCCAAGGCCAGCUAUCUAGGAACAUGGAGGUUAAUUGGCAACAUCAACCCAACCAAACUGACGUGUCUUGUGAAUGUGGUGUCAAUCAGUGAAUUCUACACCAUGGGGAGACAGGGCGUGCUCAUUUAUGCUUCUGCUCUAACAGGCUGGAAAUGCUGUUUGGACCAUGGGCCCAGAGACUGGCUUCAAGCAUGGACUGUCUGGAGACAUUGAAAAUGGAAGCCUUCUGUUGCUGAGGCCUGUGCCUAGGAUGCCCCAGGACUGAGCAUCUCCAGCUUCAAGACUCCCUGCUGAUGGAAGAAGAUC